rnacentral:rRNA from 1 species
UACGUAGGGUGCGAGCGUUAAUCGGAAUUACUGGGCGUAAAGCGUGCGCAGGCGGCUUUGCAAGACAGAUGUGAAAUCCCCGGGCUCAACCUGGGAACUGCAUUUGUGACUGCAAGGCUAGAGUACGGCAGAGGGGGAUGGAAUUCCGCGUGUAGCAGUGAAAUGCGUAGAUAUGCGGAGGAACACCGAUGGCGAAGGCAAUCCCCUGGACCUGUACUGACGCUCAUGCACGAAAGCGUGGGGAGCAAACAG